GGGCCCGCACAAGCGGUGGAGCAUGUGGUUUAAUUCGAUGCAACGCGAAAAACCUUACCAGGCCUUGACAUCCUGAGAACUUUCUAGAGAUAGAUUGGUGCCUUCGGGAACUCAGUGACAGGUGUUGCAUGGCUGUCGUCAGCUCGUGUCGUGAGAUGUUGGGUUAAGUCCCGUAACGAGCGCAACCCUUAUCCUUAUUUGCCAGCACAUAAUGGUGGGAACUCUAAGGAGACUGCCGGUGACAAACCGGAGGAAGGAGAGGAUGAUGUCAAGUCAUCAUGGCCCUUACGGCCUGGGCUACACACGUGCUACAAUGGGCAGUACAGAGGGCCGCGAACCCGCGAGGGGGAGCUAAUCCCAAAAAACUGCUCGUAGUCCGGAUCGGAGUCUGCAACUCGACUCCGUGAAGUCGGAAUC
rnacentral:rRNA from 1 species